ACAGAUAGUAUCACGAAAAGAAGUGGUAAGAGUAAUAAAAUUCCUUUAUUCAACAUUACGAAUUGAAUUACAAGAAGAAGUGGUUGUAAUUAAUUUAACACAUAUUGCAUCACGAGAAGAAUAGGAAAAAUAUUGCUAUACUUAAGUAUCAAGAUUAAAAUACUGAUGCACCGUUAAACUGAAGGUGGUAACAAAGUUUACAAAAUUUGCUCUGGCUGAAUUUUUCAAUGAAAAAACAAUAUGUCUGCUAUGAAUGUAAUCUGUUUUUUAUGGCGUAUCAAUGAAAGUUUGGUGUAUUGGCCAAACCACUUGCAAGCAUCUUGCCUUUAAACUGCCAUACAUAAAGACACGCUUUUAAAAGUAACUGAAAGCAGCUAAAAAUAAGAAUUUUUUGAUGAACUUUCUUACUUCGGUUGGAGGAGAUGAGAAACAACUUACAGCGGCAAUCUUAAUACAGCUAAUGGCCAAAGAAGUAUGUUUUUCAUACUCAGUGUAUGGAAUGAAACAAAAAUGUCCUGCAAGGUCGUUAUAGAGUUGCGUUUAGUCGUUUAUCAUUGUAUUCGUUCAUUUCGAAAUCGCUACUGACAAAAGUAUUUAAGAAAAAAUUGGCAGCUUUCUGGCGACGGCCAUUAAUAGAGAUUAUG